rnacentral:lncRNA from 1 species
UGCACAAGAAGACAUCUACUCCACUGACCAGACAAGAAGAACCAAGGCAGACCAACUUGACGGCAAAGAGGAUUGGCAACCCGGGGGGGGAGAUCCCUAUCUGAAUGAUAUCUUUGCCACACAAGUGAUGCGCCGAGCAACUCCCAUAUCCGUGGUUGUCUUUGGCCGCCCGCAUCAAGCAAAGGGACUGGCUUUCACAUGUUGCUGCUGAGAGCAAUGCUUCCUCGACGCCCUUCGAGGGAAGGAAGCCCCAAAGGUGGAGAGAACACUGAGAUUAGCAGCCUUGGAUAGCCCAGCAGAGAGGAUGGCGACGAGGCAGAAACACGUAGCGAAAACCAUGCCGAACCGCUAACAAAGUGAAGAGAGGGCCAACUGCAAGCCAUGCGGAGGCAAGGCUGUAACACCCCCUGUUAAUGGCAGCUUAAGAAUAUCAUUAAGAAGUUAAUGGUGAAAUUUGGAGGAAAAGGGAAGAUUAUGCGCCAAAGUCAAAUUGGAGCCAAAUUUGGUCAAAUCUCAAUUUAAGAUUUGAAUUUGGUAAAAAAUAGACAAAAAUGGCAGGUCAAGCCUAACAAGUAUUUCAAACCCAAAGGAAUAAAGUUUGGAGUUAAAUUCUAGCUAUACAUACUACAAAUGAAAAAUCAGAAAUGAGAGAAAUUGAGUACUAUUCACAAUCUAAAAAUAUGCAAUUCCGAAACCAGCAAUGAGUACCCC